CUGUGAAGGUCCUUAAUUGUUAUUUACUGUUUUGAGCCCAGAAGCCUACCGCAUCACUGGAGAAACGAUCUUUUAACCCACUGUCUCCUUACUGUGAAUUGAAGAGAGUACUGUGCAGAUCCUUACCUGUUCCACUUACUGUUGAGUUCAGAGGCAUGCAGCAUCACUGAAGCACACUGCAUCAUUUGGGAAGCAACCUUUUAAUUCACUGUCUCCUUACUGCGAGCUGAAGAGAGUACUGUGUACUGUGAAGAUCCUUACCUGUUCUACUUACUGUCCGAGUCCAGAGGUAUACAGCAUCACUGGUAAAGUACCCUGUUUAAUCCAUUGUCUUCCUGCUGUACAUUGAAGAGAGUAUUUUGUACUGUGAAGAUCCUCACCUGUUCUACUUACCGUUUGAGUCCAGAAGGACGCAGCAUCAUGGGCGAAGUAAACCUUUAACUCACUGUCUUCCUCCUGUGGACCGAAGAGUACCGCGCACUGCGAAGAAUCCUUACCUGCUAUACUUACUGCCCGAGUUCGGAAGUCUGCAGCACUGCUGGGAAAAAUCCAGAAGCAUGCAGCAUCGCUGGUGAAGCCGUCUAGUGAUUCGCU